rnacentral:rRNA from 1 species
AGAGUUUGAUCAUGGCUCAGAACGAACGCUGGCGGCGUGCUUAACACAUGCAAGUCGAACGUGAUCCAGAGCUUGCUCUGGUGAAAGUGGCGCACGGGUGAGUAACGCGUGGAUAACCUGCCCUGGUAUCUGGGAUAACAUCUCGAAAGGGGUGCUAAUACCGGAUAAGCCUACGGGGUCCUCGGACUCUGCAGGAAAAGGUGGCCUCUAUUUAUAAGCUACCGUAUCAGGAUGGGUCCGCGUACCAUUAGCUAGUUGGUGGGGUAAUGGCCCACCAAGGCGACGAUGGUUAGCUGGUCUGAGAGGAUGAUCAGCCACACUGGAACUGAGACACGGUCCACACUCCUACGGGAGGCAGCAGUGGGGAAUUUUGCGCAAUGGGGGAAACCCUGACGCAGCAACGCCGCGUGAGUGAUGAAGGCUUUCGGGUCGUAAAGCUCUGUCAGAGGGGAAGAAAUGAGCCUGGCUAAUAUCCAGGUUUCUUGACGGUACCCUCAAAGGAAGCACCGGCUAACUCCGUGCCAGCCGCCGCGGUAAUUC